GAUGAACGCUGGCGGCGUGCCUAAUACAUGCCAGUCGAGCGAACAGACGAGGAGCUUGCUCCACUGACGUUAGCGGCGGACGGGUGAGUAACACGUGGAUAACCUACCUAUAAGACUGGGAUAACUUCGGGAAACCGGAGCUAAUACCGGAUAAUAUAUUGAACCGCAUGGUUCAAUAGUGAAAGACGGUUUUGCUGUCACUUAUAGAUGGAUCCGCGCCGCAUUAGCUAGUUGGUAAGGUAACGGCUUACCAAGGCAACGAUGCGUAGCCGACCUGAGAGGGUGAUCGGCCACACUGGAACUGAGACACGGUCCAGACUCCUACGGGAGGCAGCAGUAGGGAAUCUUCCGCAAUGGGCGAAAGCUUGACGGAGCAACGCCGCGUGAGUGAUGAAGGUCUUCGGAUCGUAAAACUCUGUUAUUAGGGAAGAACAAAUGUGUAAGUAACUAUGCACGUCUUGACGGUACCUAAUCAGAAAGCCACGGCUAACUACGUG
rnacentral:rRNA from 1 species